CUAAAAAAAAAGGAAGCGACCCACCUGAGUUUCGAUCUAAAAUCUCCAUGAAAAGCGCUCUCUGCUAAACAGCUUUGAUUGAUCUUGAACCCCACUUACCACCCUAUUCUCUCAAAUUCUCAACGACCCACAAAAAGCGGCAAAUUUUACUUUGCUUUUUCAAAGAAAAGUAAAGCAAUGACCAAUGAGAAUCAAGAAGACAUGUACUCUCUUCAGAGAGAAGAGGAGAAAGAUUUCGAUCUGGGAUCGGACGAGCCUGAGGCCCCGUUGCCCCUCACUGUCACUUCUCGGGUGCUGUAUAUGUUGGGG
rnacentral:misc_RNA from 1 species